GCAUCCCUAACUAUUAGUAUACUAUUGCACUAUGUAUUGUUUCCACUGUACAUGUUUGUUGUACAAACUGUACUGUUCCACUCUACCUGUUUGUUUUUCUCUUUUUAAAAUUGUGUUAUAAAAAAGAUUUCGAAACUCAAUUUUUUAAUUAGGAAUUCAAAAAUGGUGUCAUGGUUCCUGAGUCUGACGACUCAGUGUUUUGUGUUUCCUCAUAAUAUUCCAUGUUCUUGUUUACUUGGUUAUGUCUUUUGUUAAGAUUUGCCAUUUGUUAGGUUUCUGUUCUGUACCUGCCCUGGUCCCACUUUUCUGUGUUCCCUCUGUCAGUCCAUGAUGUCAUAGUGUCUGCUUGUCAGUCUGUCUGUUAAUUUCAGUGUCUAGUCUAGAUCGCUGUGUCUGUCGUGUAUUUCCUGUUUUACUUUGAAGGUCCAUGUCUUAUGUGAAUAUGUCUAGUUUUGCUUCCCCAGUCUCGUUAGCCCUGAUUUCUCCCAGCUGUGUUUCCCUCCUGUCUCCAAUUCCCUGAUUACUCUACUGUGUACAUAAGCCCUGUGUUUUCUCCUGCUUGUUGCUGGUCUGUCUGUGUUUUCUCCCCAAGUCUCCCUGUGAAUCUACCAUGUGUUCUCCUUGCUGUCAUCCUGCAUGUAUCUCCGCCCUCCUCCCUUCGUGUUCAGAGCUGAGCUCUAAGUAAUAAUCUGCAUCUUGAACCAUGGAGGAAAUUUAUGUCAAUGCUGAAAACCCCAAGCAUAACAAUUCAAAACCUUCACCAGGUCACACAGUUCUAUUUUAAGGAACAAGCGGCCGUCGUAGGAGUUUCCAUUUAGGAUUUAUUAUCUGUCUGGGAAUGCUGAGUGUUUUCCUGCUGAUUGGACUCAUCACCCUCGGUGUUUAUGGUGAGUUUGGUUCUUCAUCACUCAAACACUCAUCAGCCCACAUAUAAAAAGAGAAAAAAUGUAGAAUGGCAUCAGCACGUUCUAAAACUAAUUUGACAAAUUAUACAAGCUUUGAACUUAAGAAGUCUCACUACAAACAAUAGUUCCUCAUUCACAGUAAAGUAAUAUUUUACUCCCAUUUUCCAAAAGAUACAUACAGGAUAUGACACAGCAUGUAGAUGAGGACAGACUUAUUAGCUUAUUAGAGAGGUGUACAACCCAAGGAAUAUGUCCAGAGAAACACAGUGGUGGCAGUAUUAUGCAUCAAUGCAUCUCUAACUGGGAAUCCUGUCAGGUGGAAGGAAUCAUGAAGAAAAUAGGAUACGUAAAGAUUUUUAAAUAAAACCUCAAGCAGUCAGAAACACAACUGGGUCUGCGUCGUGACUUUAUCUCUGAACAUGACAACAAUCCAAAACACGCAUCGGUCCUAGUGAAUAACAACCGCCAGACAAUCAAAGUGCAUGUUACUGACUGGUCUGCACAAAGCCCUGACUUGAAUCCCAUUGAAAAUAUGUGGUGAACUGAAGACCAAGGUCCAUGCCAGAAGUAGCUGCCUAAUAAGAAUCAGCUGGGAUUAGUCAGGAGACGUGUAAGAGACU